rnacentral:rRNA from 1 species
ACUGCUCAGUAACACGUGGACAACCUGCCCUUUAGGUUGGGUAUAAACCCGGGAAACUGGGUAUAAUACCCGAUAGGUCUCGAUUGCUGGAAUGCAUCGAGAUUUAAAGCUCCGGCGCCUAAGGAUGGGUCUGCGGCCUAUCAGGUAGUAGUGGGUGUAGCGUACCUACUAGCCUACGACGGGUACGGGUUGUGAGAGCAAGAGCCCGGAGAUGGAUUCUGAGACACGAAUCCAGGCCCUACGGGGUGCAGCAGGCGCGAAAACUUUACAAUGCUGGCAACAGCGAUAAGGGAACCUCGAGUGCCAGGUUACAAAUCUGGCUGUCGAGAUGCCUAAAAAGCAUUUCAUAGCAAGGGCCGGGCAAGACCGGUGCCAGCCGCCGCGGUAACACCGGCGGCUCGAGUGGUAACCGUUAUUAUUGGGUCUAAAGGGUCUGUAGCCGGCCGGAUAAGUCUCUUGAGAAAUCUGGCAGCUUAACUGUCAGGCUUUCAGGAGAUACUGUCUGGCUCGAGGCCGGGAGAGGUGAGAGGUACUUCAGGGGUAGGGGUGAAAUCUUGUAAUCCUUGAAGGACCACCAGUGGCGAAGGCGUCUCACCAGAACGGACCUGACGGCAAGGGACGAAAGCUAGGGGCACGAACCGGAUUAGAUACCCGGGUAGUCCUAGCCGUAAACGAUACUCGCUAGGUGUCGGCCACGGUGCGACCGUUGUCGGUGCCGUAGGGAGGCCAUGAAGCGAGCCACCUGGGAAGUACGGCCGCAAGGCUGAAACUUAAAGGAAUUGGCGGGGGAGCAC